rnacentral:rRNA from 1 species
CGUGUAGGCGGAGACUGCAAGUCAGGAGUGAAAUCCCGGGCUCAACCCGGAACUGCUUUGAACUGUAUCCCUUGAGUGUCGGAGAGGCAAGCGGAAUUCCUAGUGUAGCGGUGAAAUGCGUAGAUAUUAGGAGGAACACCAGUGGCGAAGGCGGCUUGCUGGACGAUAACUGACGCUGAGGCGCGAAAGCGUGGGGAGCAAACA